rnacentral:rRNA from 1 species
CGGCAAAGCUAGAUUGAAUCGUGCUUUGCGGCACGAGUUGUAGAUUGCAGGUUGGAGUCUGUGUGGAAGGCGGUGUCCAAGUCCCUUGGAACAGGGCGCCCAGGAGGGUGAGAGCCCCGUGGGAUGCCGGCGGAAGCAGUGAGGCCCUUCUGACGAGUCGAGUUGUUUGGGAAUGCAGCUCCAAGCGGGUGGUAAAUUCCAUCUAAGGCUAAAUACUGGCGAGAGACCGAUAGCGAACAAGUACUGUGAAGGAAAGAUGAAAAGCACUUUGAAAAGAGAGUGAAACAGCACGUGAAAUUGUUGAAAGGGAAGGGUAUUGCGCCCGACAUGGGGAUUGCGCACCGCUGCCUCUCGUGGGCGGCGCUCUGGGCUUUCCCUGGGCCAGCAUCGGUUCUUGCUGCAGGAGAAGGGGUUCUGGAACGUGGCUCUUCGGAGUGUUAUAGCCAGGGCCAGAUGCUGCGUGCGGGGACCGAGGACUGCGGCCGUGUAGGUCACGGAUGCUGGCAGAACGGCGCAACACCGCCCGUCUG